rnacentral:rRNA from 4 species
ACCCUUUAAUGUUUGAUGUUCUAACGUGGACCCGUGAUCCGGGUUGCGGACAGUGUCUGGUGGGUAGUUUGACUGGGGCGGUCUCCUCCUAAAGAGUAACGGAGGAGCACGAAGGUUGGCUAAUCCUGGUCGGACAUCAGGAGGUUAGUGCAAUGGCAUAAGCCAGCUUGACUGCGAGCGUGACGGCGCGAGCAGGUGCGAAAGCAGGUCAUAGUGAUCCGGUGGUUCUGAAUGGAAGGGCCAUCGCUCAACGGAUAAAAGGUACUCCGGGGAUAACAGGCUGAUACCGCCCAAGAGUUCAUAUCGACGGCGGUGUUUGGCACCUCGAUGUCGGCUCAUCACAUCCUGGGGCUGAAGUAGGUCCCAAGGGUAUGGCUGUUCGCCAUUUAAAGUGGUACGCGAGCUGGGUUUAGAACGUCGUGAGACAGUUCGGUCCCUAUCUGCCGUGGGCGCUGGAGAACUGAGGGGGGCUGCUCCUAGUACGAGAGGACCGGAGUGGACGCAUCACUGGUGUUCGGGUUGUCAUGCCAAUGGCACUGCCCGGUAGCUAAAUGCGGAAGAGAUAAGUGCUGAAAGCAUCUAAGCACGAAACUUGCCCCGAGAUGAGUUCUCCCUGAGACUUUAGGUCUCCUGAAGGAACGUUGAAGACGACGACGUUGAUAGGCCGGGUGUGUAAGCGCAGCGAUGCGUUGAGCUAACCGGUACUAAUGAACCGUGAGGCUUAACCUUACAA